rnacentral:rRNA from 1 species
GUGAGGAAUAUUGGUCAAUGGGCGAGAGCCUGAACCAGCCAAGUCGCGUGAAGGAAGAAGGAUCUAUGGUUCGUAAACUUCUUUUGCAGGGGAAUAAAGUGCAGGACGUGUCCUGUUUUGUAUGUACCCUGAGAAUAAGGAUCGGCUAACUCCGUGCCAGCAGCCGCGGUAAUACGGAGGAUCCGAGCGUUAUCCGGAUUUAUUGGGUUUAAAGGGUGCGUAGGUGGUUUGAUAAGUCAGCGGUGAAAGUUUGCAGCUUAACUGUAAAAAUGCCGUUGAAACUGUCGGACUUGAGUGUAAAUGAGGUAGGCGGAAUGCGUGGUGUGGCGGUGAAAUGCAUAGAUAUCACGCAGAACUCCGAUUGCGAAGGCAGCUUACUAAGCUACAACUGACACUGAAGCACGAAAGCGUGGGGAUCAAACAGGAUUAGAUACCCCGGUAGUCC